rnacentral:rRNA from 1 species
UUACUAGAGUAGCACUCGCAUAUCAAUAAGCGGAGGAAAAGAAACUAACAAGGAUUCCCCUAGUAACGGCGAGUGAAGCGGGAAGAGCUCAAAUUUGAAAUCUUAAAGGGUUUCCCUUUACGAAUUGUAGUUUAAAGAAGUGUUUUCUGUUGAGGUUUUGGUAAAAGUUCUUUGGAAUAGGACAUCAUAGAGGGUGAGAAUCCCGUAUUUGACCUUUACUUUCAACUUUGUGAUACACUUUCAAAGAGUCGGAUUGUUUGGGAAUGCAGUCCAAAAUGGGUGGUAAAUUUCAUCUAAAGCUAAAUAUUGGCGAGAGACCGAUAGCGAACAAGUACCGUGAGGGAAAGAUGAAAAGAACUUUGAAAAGAGAGUUAAACAGUACGUGAAAUUGUCAAAAGGGAAGCGUUUGACACCAGUGUUGUUUUUCUGAAAAUCAAUUAAAGAACUGUUUAUGCUAAGCUGUUUAGACUUUAUCAGCUAUCUGUUUAGUUUUGAGCUUUUCUUUAAUGCACUUUUCAGUUAACAAGUCAACAUCAAUUUCUUUUGCUGUAAAAAAGCUUGAGGAAGGUGGCUUGAGAUUCGUCUUAAGUGUUUAUAGCCUCUUGCCUAUGCAGUCGGAGAGAUUGAGGUCUGCAGCGUAGAUCCUUCGGGGCUAAAUGCAUUUGUGCUAAGUUAUAGCAUUUUAUAGACAACUUGUUGACUAUGAUUUGUCUUGUAGCUUACUCGCUUAUGUUAUUUUACCUACGCUUAGGAUGUUGAACUACUGAGACAUAGA